CAAACUUAGUGGCUUAAAACAACACGGAUUGUUACUGAACAGUUCUAGAGUCAGAAUUCUAAAACCAAGGUGCGAGCAGAGCUGCAUUCCUUCUGAAGCCUCUAGGGGAGAAUCCAUUUCCUUGCCCUCUCCAGCAACUACAGCCACAUGGCCUUACCAACAGCCAUACUGUGGAAGUGGUCUGAAGGCAUGGCAGAAUAUCCCCAAUCUGCCUCCCCUAAAUAUUUUCACCUGUGAUGAGCAAACAGCUGCCAAGCAAGAAUGGAUGCUAGCACGGGUGUCUGAGCUGAGGCUCUAUGGUAGAGUUGCCAGAUUUAGCAAAUAAAAUUAUCAUACGGGAUAUACUUAAAAUGUUCACAUUGUUUAUCUGAGUUUCAUAUAUAACUGGGUGUCCUGCAUUUUGUUUGACCCUAUCCUAUGGGUAAGACCCCAUUCAUUUCACUGGAGAGUGCAGGGAAGCAAGGUGGCUCUUCCUUGCAAGCCCCUGACCUCUCUCUGCCAAAUGUGCCUGAGAAGGGUCAGAAAUGUGUACUCUCCUUUUAGACACCCAGCUCACCAACCCUUUUUUGCCAGCAUUUUCUCAGGGGCCCUUUUAGCAUUUAAUCUAGGGAAUGAGGGCACUGUUCCCAUGUGGUUUUCAAACUAACAGAGCUGACAUCCUAGAACUCCCACCUGGUCCCUAGCCAACAAUGCCACACAACCUGCCCUACCCCCUCACCCAGACUUUCUGCCAAGGUCAGGAGGAUUCAGAAGCUGGAACAGACCAGGAAAACCCUACAGGGAGGGAUUGUGGCCUGACAUUGCCUUAUCCCUGAGCUCAAAAAAAGACUGCUAAUGAAUUUCCCACAUAGGACUUUCCUUGCCAAAAGAACAAAUUCCUUGAUUCCAGUGAGUAUAGAUUUCUCAAAAUCCUCCUGGAAAUUUUGAUCAUUCCCUCUCUAAUUCUUAUCUAUGAGUUUUCCUGCUCACAAUUAAUCAGAAGUCUCCAUUGUUUUCUCUUCUAUCCCAAACUAAUUAUAAUAAGCUAAUAAUUUACUCCUUUGUGCAAAACUCUAAGUUCCCCAUAUAUUCUUCCAUUAUGUCUGUGAUGGCUGUCUCUCAGUACAGCUCUGACUGGAAAAAGCAUAAACUCUGACCCUAACUGGCUUGGCUUUGGGGUCUAGAGUUAUCCUUUACCUGCUGUGUGACAUUGACCAAUUCACUGAGUUUCUCUGAAACUUCUAUGAUUCAUUUAUAAAAUGGGACUAUUAAGAGUGAUUUCUUUGAACCAGACAUUAUUCUAUGAGAAACCACUCAAAUAAUAGGGGAUAAAAAUGCAAACUUCAUAUUUGAACCAUAUCUUACCCUUUUAGAAGCCAUACAGAUUAAAGGUCAAAAAUGAUAUCUGCUUGAGCUACAAGCUUCUUUUGCAGCAGAACUAGGGACUGGCAAGCCAGAUUACAACACACACAUGCAGUGGGAUGCUACGCAGGGAUUAAAAAUGAUCAUGUUUUUAAUCCUCAUGAUUAUAAGAGGUGACUUUAUUUUAGUGAGAUAAGAAAGAUGGGAAACAGUAUGUAUAACAUGCUACCUUUUGUAUAAGAAAGGGAGAAUAUAAAAGUAUUUUUAAUUGCUUAUUUUACAUAAACAAUACACAAGAACUUAAUAAAAGUGACUACCCUGGUGUGAGGAUGGGAGGU
rnacentral:lncRNA from 13 species